rnacentral:rRNA from 1 species
AAUCAGUGUGUGUGUUAGUGGAAGCGUCUGGAAAGGCGCGCGAUACAGGGUGACAGCCCCGUACACAAAAAUGCACAUGCUGUGAGCUCGAUGAGUAGGGCGGGACACGUGGUAUCCUGUCUGAAUAUGGGGGGACCAUCCUCCAAGGCUAAAUACUCCUGACUGACCGAUAGUGAACCAGUACCGUGAGGGAAAGGCGAAAAGAACCCCGGCGAGGGGAGUGAAAAAGAACCUGAAACCGUGUACGUACAAGCAGUGGGAGCACGCUUAGGCGUGUGACUGCGUACCUUUUGUAUAAUGGGUCAGCGACUUAUAUUCUGUAGCAAGGUUAACCGAAUAGGGGAGCCGAAGGGAAACCGAGUCUUAACUGGGCGUUAAGUUGCAGGGUAUAGACCCGAAACCCGGUGAUCUAGCCAUGGGCAGGUUGAAGGUUGGGUAACACUAACUGGAGGACCGAACCGACUAAUGUUGAAAAAUUAGCGGAUGACUUGUGGCUGGGGGUGAAAGGCCAAUCAAACCGGGAGAUAGCUGGUUCUCCCCGAAAGCUAUUUAGGUAGCGCCUCGUGAAUUCAUCUCCGGGGGUAGAGCACUGUUUCGGCAAGGGGGUCAUCCCGACUUACCAACCCGAUGCAAACUGCGAAUACCGGAGAAUGUUAUCACGGGAGACACACGGCGGGUGCUAACGUCCGUCGUGAAGAGGGAAACAACCCAGACCGCCAGCUAAGGUCCCAAAGUCAUGGUUAAGUGGGAAACGAUGUGGGAAGGCCCAGACAGCCAGGAUGUUGGCUUAGAAGCAGCCAUCAUUUAAAGAAAGCGUAAUAGCUCACUGGUCGAGUCGGCCUGCGCGGAAGAUGUAACGGGGCUAAACCAUGCACCGAAGCUGCGGCAGCGACGCUGAUGCGUUGUUGGGUAGGGGAGCGUUCUGUAAGCCUGCGAAGGUGUGCUGUGAGG